rnacentral:rRNA from 1 species
GACGAACGCUGGCGGCGUGCUUAACACAUGCCAGUCGAACGGAAAGGCCCUGCUUUUGUGGGGUGCUCGAGUGGCGAACGGGUGAGUAACACGUGAGUAACCUGCCCUUGACUUUGGGAUAACUUCAGGAAACUGGGGCUAAUACCGGAUAGGAGCUCCUGCUGCAUGGUGGGGGUUGGAAAGUUUCGGCGGUUGGGGAUGGACUCGCGGCUUAUCAGCUUGUUGGUGGGGUAGUGGCUUACCAAGGCUUUGACGGGUAGCCGGCCUGAGAGGGUGACCGGCCACAAUGGGACUGAGAUACGGCGCAGACUCCUACGGGAGGCAGCAGUGGGGAAUAUUGCACAAUGGGCGGAAGCCUGAUGCAGCAACGCCGCGUGCGGGAUGACGGCCUUCGGGUUGUAAACCGCUUUCGCCUGUGACGAAGCGUGAGUGACGGUAAUGGGUAAAGAAGCACCGGCUAACUACGUG